GACGGUACCCGCAGAAGAAGCCCCGGCUAACUUCGUGCCAGCAGCCGCGGUAAUACGAAGGGGGCUAGCGUUGUUCGGAAUUACUGGGCGUAAAGGGCGCGUAGGCGGUUCUUUAAGUCAGGUGUGAAAUCUCGGGGCUCAACUGGGAAGCUGCCUUUGAUACUGGAGAGCUUGAGUGCGGGAGAGGUGAGUGGAAUUGCCGGUGUAGAGGUGAAAUUCGUAGAUAUUCGGAAGAACACCUGUGGCGAAGGCGGCUCACUGGACCGUUACUGACGCUGAGGCGCGAAAGCGUGGGGAGCAAACAGGAUUAGAUACCCUGGUAGUCCACGCCCUAAACGAUGAAUGCUUGGCGUUGGCGGGUUUACUUGUUAGUGGCGCAGCUAACGCGUUAAGCAUUCCGCCUGGGGAGUACAGUCGCAAGAGUCAAACUCUAAGGAAUUGGCC
rnacentral:rRNA from 1 species